rnacentral:rRNA from 1 species
AUGGCCUCCUUCCCUCUCUUCUCUCUCCUCCUCUUCUUGGCCCACCUCUCUCCCCACGCGUCGUCGUCGGCGGAGCCGGUUCUGGCGGGUGACCUCCUGGACGCGGCCCACGCUUCGGGGUUCGCCGCGUGGCUGCGCAGCGUGCGGCGGCGCAUCCACCAGCACCCGGAGCUGUCCUUCCACGAGUACCGCACAAGCGAGCUCGUCCGCGCCGAGCUGGACACGAUCGGCGUGUCCUACUCCUGGCCCGUCGCCCAGACCGGUGUGGUGGCCACGAUCGUCGGCGGCGGCGGCGCUGGGCCCGUUGUCGCGCUCCGGGCGGACAUGGACGCGCUCCCCUUGCAGGAAUUGGUAGAUUGGGAAUACAAAAGCCAGGAGAGUGGGAAAAUGCAUGCUUGUGGACAUGAUGCUCACACAUCAAUGCUUCUCGGAGCUGCUAAGCUACUUCAUUCUUGGAAGGAUCACAUCAAGGGUACCGUCAAGCUUGUCUUUCAGCCAGCAGAAGAAGGAUAUGCCGGGGCUUACCAUGUCCUAGAAGAAGGUAUUCUAGAUGAUGUGUCCGCCAUUUUUGGUCUGCAUGUCGACCCAAGUCUUCCAGUGGGUACCGUCGUCUCCAGGCCAGGGCCAUUCAUGGCAGCAUCGGGACGGUUUUUGAUAACGGUCACCGGGAAAGGCGGUCACGCAGCAAUGCCUCACCAUGCUGUCGACCCCAUCGUCAUGGCAUCCUCUGCCAUCAUCAGCCUCCAACAAAUCGUAGCUCGGGAAAUUGAUCCCCUCGAAGCCGCGGUGGUCUCAGUAACAUUCAUGGAAGGAGGUGAUGCUUACAAUGUCAUUCCUGAGUCAGCUUGCUUCGGUGGCACCUUCAGGAGCUUGACAACAGAAGGUCUGUCAUAUCUUAAGAAGAGGAUCAAGGAGAUUGUGGAAGCGCACGCCGUCGUGAGCCGCUGCACUGCCAGCGUCGACUUCAUGGAUGAGGAGCGCCGGCCAUACCCAGCCACCGUCAACGACGAAGGGAUGUACGAUCAUGCCAGAUCAGUGGCAGCGGCUAUGUUUGGAGAAGGCCACGUCAAGAUAGGUGGCCCAAUCAUGGCCGCGGAGGAUUUCUCGUUCUACACGCAGAGAUUCCCAGGGGCAUUUUUCAUGAUAGGAACCCGCGACGAGACACUGGCAACCGCGGUGCAUCCACUCCACUCCCCCAACUUUGUGAUCGAUGAGGGUGUGCUCCCGGUGGGAGCGGCCUUCCAUGCUGCUGUGGCGAUGGAGUACUUGAACAAGCGCGGAACCGUGUCAAACUAA